UCCGAGGGGGGCAAGCGUUGUUCGGAAUUAUUGGGCGUAAAGGGCGCGUAGGCGGCGCCACAAGUCACUUGUGACAACUCUGGGCUCAACUCAGAGCCUGCAAGCGAAACUGUGGUGCUGGAGUAUGGGAGAGGUGCGUGGAAUUCCCGGUGUAGCGGGGAAAUGCGUAGAAAUCGGGAGGAACACCUGUGGCGAAAGCGGCGCACUGGACCAUAACUGACGCUGAGGCGCGAAAGCUAGGGGAGCAAACGGG
rnacentral:rRNA from 1 species